UACGGAGGGUGCGAGCGUUGUCCGGAAUCACUGGGCGUAAAGGGCGCGUAGGCGGCUUCUCAAGCGUGUGGUGAAAGUCCGGGGCUCAACCCCGGAUCGGCCGUGCGGACUGGGGAGCUCGAGUUCUGUAGAGGCGGGUGGAAUUCCGGGUGUAGCGGUGGAAUGCGUAGAGAUCCGGAAGAACACCGGUGGCGAAGGCGGCUCACUGGCUCGUAACUGACGCUCAUGCACGACAGCGUGGGGAUCAAACAGG
rnacentral:rRNA from 1 species